GGUUAAGCGACUAAGCGUACACGGUGGAUGCCCUGGCAGUCAGAGGCGAUGAAGGACGUGCUAAUCUGCGAAAAGCGCCGGCGAGGUGAUAUGAACCCUUGACCCGGCGAUGUCCGAAUGGGGAAACCCAGUGUGUUCCGACACACUAUCGUUAACUGAAUACAUAGGUUAACGAGGCGAACCGGGGGAACUGAAACAUCUAAGUACCCCGAGGAAAAGAAAUCAACCGAGAUUCCCCCAGUAGCGGCGAGCGAACGGGGAGCAGCCCGGAGUCUGAAUCAGCUUGUGUGUUAGUGGAACGGUCUGGAAAGUCCGACGGUACAGGGUGAUAGUCCCGUACACGAAAAUGCACAGGUUGUGAACUCGAAGAGUAGGGCGGGACACGUGGUAUCCUGUCUGAAUAUGGGGGGACCAUCCUCCAAGGCUAAAUACUCCUGACUGACCGAUAGUGAACCAGUACCGUGAGGGAAAGGCGAAAAGAACCCCGGCGAGGGGAGUGAAAAAGAACCUGAAACCGUGUACGUACAAGCAGUGGGAGCACCUUCGGGUGUGACUGCGUACCUUUUGUAUAAUGGGUCAGCGACUUAUAUUCUGUAGCAAGGUUAACCGUAUAGGGGAGCCGAAGGGAAACCGAGUCUUAACUGGGCGUUAAGUUGCAGGGUAUAGACCCGAAACCCGGUGAUCUAGCCAUGGGCAGGUUGAAGGUUGGGUAACACUAACUGGAGGACCGAACCGACUAAUGUUGAAAAAUUAGCGGAUGACCUGUGGCUGGGGGUGAAAGGCCAAUCAAACCGGGAGAUAGCUGGUUCUCCCCGAAAGCUAUUUAGGUAGCGCCUCGUGAACUCAUCUUCGGGGGUAGAGCACUGUUUCGGCUAGGGGGCCAUCCCGGCUUACCAACCCGAUGCAAACUACGAAUACCGAAGAAUGUUAUCACGGGAGACACACGGCGGGUGCUAACGUCCGUCGUGAAGAGGGAAACAACCCAGACCGCCAGCUAAGGUCCCAAAGUCAUGGUUAAGUGGGAAACGAUGUGGGAAGGCACAGACAGCCAGGAUGUUGGCUUAGAAGCAGCCAUCAUUUAAAGAAAGCGUAAUAGCUCACUGGUCGAGUCGGCCUGCGCGGAAGAUGUAACGGGGCUAAACCAUGCACCGAAGCUGCGGCAGCGACGCUUAUGCGUUGUUGGGUAGGGGAGCGUUCUGUAAGCCGUUGAAGGUGUGCUGUGAGGCAUGCUGGAGGUAUCAGAAGUGCGAAUGCUGACAUAAGUAACGAUAAAGCGGGUGAAAAGCCCGCUCGCCGGAAGACCAAGGGUUCCUGUCCAACGUUAAUCGGGGCAGGGUGAGUCGACCCCUAAGGCGAGGCCGAAAGGCGUAGUCGAUGGGAAACAGGUUAAUAUUCCUGUACUUGGUGUUACUGCGAAGGGGGGACGGAGAAGGCUAUGUCAGCCGGGCGACGGUUGUCCCGGUUUAAGCAUGUAGGCGGAGGUUCCAGGUAAAUCCGGUACCUUUUAACGCUGAGGUGUGAUGACGAGGCACUACGGUGCUGAAGUGAUAAAUGCCCUGCUUCCAGGAAAAGCCUCUAAGCAUCAGGUAACACGAAAUCGUACCCCAAACCGACACAGGUGGUCAGGUAGAGAAUACCAAGGCGCUUGAGAGAACUCGGGUGAAGGAACUAGGCAAAAUGGUGCCGUAACUUCGGGAGAAGGCACGCUGAUAUGUAGGUGAAGUCCCUGCGGACGGAGCUGAAAUCAGUCGAAGAUACCAGCUGGCUGCAACUGUUUAUUAAAAACACAGCACUGUGCAAACACGAAAGUGGACGUAUACGGUGUGACGCCUGCCCGGUGCCGGAAGGUUAAUUGAUGGGGUUAGCGGCAACGCGAAGCUCUUGAUCGAAGCCCCGGUAAACGGCGGCCGUAACUAUAACGGUCCUAAGGUAGCGAAAUUCCUUGUCGGGUAAGUUCCGACCUGCACGAAUGGCGUAAUGAUGGCCAGGCUGUCUCCACCCGAGACUCAGUGAAAUUGAACUCGCUGUGAAGAUGCAGUGUACCCGCGGCAAGACGGAAAGACCCCGUGAACCUUUACUAUAGCUUGACACUGAACACUGGUCCUUGAUGUGUAGGAUAGGUGGGAGGCUUUGAAGCGUGGACGCCAGUCUGCGUGGAGCCGUCCUUGAAAUACCACCCUUUAAUGGCUGGUGUUCUAACGUAGACCCGUGAUCCGGGUUGCGGACAGUGUCUGGUGGGUAGUUUGACUGGGGCGGUCUCCUCCCAAAGAGUAACGGAGGAGCACGAAGGUUGGCUAAUCCUGGUCGGACAUCAGGAGGUUAGUGCAAUGGCAUAAGCCAGCUUGACUGCGAGCGUGACGGCGCGAGCAGGUGCGAAAGCAGGUCAUAGUGAUCCGGUGGUUCUGAAUGGAAGGGCCAUCGCUCAACGGAUAAAAGGUACUCCGGGGAUAACAGGCUGAUACCGCCCAAGAGUUCAUAUCGACGGCGGUGUUUGGCACCUCGAUGUCGGCUCAUCACAUCCUGGGGCUGAAGUAGGUCCCAAGGGUAUGGCUGUUCGCCAUUUAAAGUGGUACGCGAGCUGGGUUUAGAACGUCGUGAGACAGUUCGGUCCCUAUCUGCCGUGGGCGCUGGAGAAUUGAGGGGGGCUGCUCCUAGUACGAGAGGACCGGAGUGGACGCAUCACUGGUGUUCGGGUUGUCAUGCCAAUGGCACUGCCCGGUAGCUAAAUGCGGAAGAGAUAAGUGCUGAAAGCAUCUAAGCACGAAACUUGCCCCGAGAUGAGUUCUCCCUGAGACCUUGAGUCUCCUGAAGGAACGUUGAAGACGACGACGUUGAUAGGUCGGGUGUGUAAGCGCAGCGAUGCGUUGAGCUAACCGAUACUAAUGAACCGUGAGGCUUAACCUU
rnacentral:rRNA from 1 species